AAGUCGUAACAAGGUUUCCGUAGGUGAACCUGCGGAAGGAUCAUUAACACGUAUCCAACGUUAAACAACCCUGUGAACUUUCAGACGCUCUUGUAGCCCAGGAGGAACAGCAAUCCCGGUAAAUCAAUGGCGGAAAGUUUUUGAUUCGGGACCUCUGUCCAAAAGGUAUCAAGUUACAAUCGAGCUAGGAGCAGUGGCAUGGUUUCCCUAAGCAGUGCAGAAGGAUCCACUGAGUAAGGAUAACGCUAAUCAAGCCCCGCGGAAACGCCGGGCAAAAAAAUCUGAACAACUGUUAACAAUGGAUAUCUUGGUUCUC
rnacentral:misc_RNA from 1 species